rnacentral:rRNA from 1 species
AGCGUAGGCGGAACCGUAAGUUAGAAGUUUAAUACCCGGGCUUAACCCGGGCUUGCUUUUAAUACUGCGGUCCUUGAGUUUGGAAGAGGGAGAUGGAAUUCCAGGUGUAGCGGUGGAAUGCGUAGAUAUCUGGAAGAACACCAGUAGCGAAGGCGGUCUCCUGGUCCUAUACUGACGCUGAGGCUCGAAAGCUAGGGGAGCAAACAGGAUUAGAUACCCUGGUAGUCCUAGCCAUAAACUAUGGAUACUAGAUGUUGGGGGAGUCAAUCUUUCCAGCGUCGUCGCUAACGCAUUAAGUAUCCCGCCUGGGGAGUACGCCCGCAAGGGUGAA